GGAGCCUGUGCCGAAGAUCCCGGCGUUCAGAUGCCUGUGGAGGCGACAACGACGUCGUGCAUGCGCAUGGUUCGUUAGUGGAUAAACUUCCAACAAUAUCCAAGUUGCAACUAAAGAAACAGAUAACAAAAAUUGACAACGCCGGUACUAGAACUAGCUAUUGGUUCCUGUCCUCUGUUGCAUUUCCCAUCAGGAUUUAGUAACCAGAAUUUACAGAGUUAUUUUGGUUUUGGGUUGGACCACUCGUGCUCCCCACUAACUGCCUCCCUGGCACUGACAUGAUGAAACAUCUAAAAGAGUAAUUUUCUCGAAUGUCAGCAGAACAGAUCUAGAGAUGCAUUGUUUCCGAUCUAAGUGUGCCAGUGCGCGCACCACAACGUCUACUUCAUCACCGUAAUUACAAUCUUUUUCUACUUCCAGCUCACACAUCACACUGAGUUCCCCAUGCAUGCACUCACUGCAUGCCGACUCAUGCGUGUCUCAUUCAUGGCCUUUUCACCGGGCACAGGCAGCCGUGUGCUACGCGUGACUCGUUUUUUUCCGGGAAGCAUGCAAGUAGCAUGUAGAUCGAUGUAGGAGUGCCCGGUGCGGCCGGCUGAGAGGCACGCGACAAAUGCCAGCCGUGAGACUGAGACAAAAUUCUCGCCUCGGCAACGGCACGGUGCAGAUCCGACCAGUACGUACAUCUGACCGGCCGUUCAUUUUCACUACUCCUCCUGCGUCUCCCAUUCUGUGCCGCCUCCUAAUUCGACUUGUCGCCAUCCAGAGCGUGGCACGCAGUUUAAUGCUUACCUGUCAGUCGUCUAUGCGGUGACGUACAGGGCUGCAUGAGGUACAUGCAUCUACGGAUGUGUGACGAUGUAUUUAUUUUGUUACCCUUUUUUUGUCAUGCUUCUUCUUUCCACUGAUGUACUUGCUACAGCACAUGAAUCUCAACGAAGCAUCGGCCAGGCAAAACAUAAGUUAAGCUUUCCUAGUCCGACUGGUAGAUGGACCCACGUACGGAUCGAUGGAGCCAGCAAGUACUACUAACAAACAGUUGAACAGCGUAUAUAUAUGGAUCUGGACGCUAAUAAUCAACGUGAUUAGUUAAGGUACUACUGUAAAACAAACUUUUGCGGGGGGGGUUUGAUGAGUAAAUUGUAUUAUUACCUGAGGAGCUCGACCUGGAGGGCGGGCCCGUCCUUGGUGCGGCGGUGGGAGGUGCCGCCGAAGCCGGUGGUGACGCCGUAGAUGUCGCCGCCGGCGGCGAGGCAGCUGAGGAUCCACUCGCUGCUGGCCUUGACGCGGGGGCGCGCCUCCUCGUCGAGCUCCACGGAGACACCGGCGGCGUCCUUUGCCUGGGCCACGGCGGCCACCUGGCCCACGCGGAGGCUGGCCCCCUCGAUCUUCACCACGGGCUCCCGGAACUGGGCCACCAUCCGCUUCACCUCGUCCAGGUGGCUGCCCGUCAGCUCCGCCGCCGCCGCGCCCCAGUUCAGCGGGUCCUUCUCCGAGAUGGCUCCGUUGCCCGCCAUUAUAUUGAUCGGUCGGUGGCUAAAAUUGAAGGGUUGA
rnacentral:lncRNA from 1 species